CUAUGAAGGAGGUGUUCCGGACUCUCUGCUCUCCUACAGGAUGACAGCUGGUGAGGAGCCGGGCUCUCCAAUGAGGAAACCAGCGACAUGCAAGAGAACGGCGGAGCCCGAAGCAGCCCCCAAGAUCCUUUGCAUCACUCCUCGAGCCAAUCAUCUCUGUUUGAGCUUGGCAAGGUUCAAACAAGGUUCAGGAAAGUGCAUGCUCGUGAGGGUACGUGAGCUCUACAGGAACCCCUUCAUGUGCUCGGUCUGUGUUGGAGAGUCGACCUCGCAAAUGAAGAAUUGUAACGUUUUUCAUCGCAGACGUCCAGUGUCAUUACAAACACGCUUCCAUUGUGACCUGUAAAGUUGAAAGGGCAUCGCCAAAUAUGGUUAAUGACGUAUAUUCCUGUGUCUGUCAGCAUGUGUCUCUCUGCCAAAGUUUAAUUUGACCCCGUUUGAAAACAACUAAUUUCCUGUGGAAUUCACAUUAACUCUCCCAAAUUAGGCCAGAUGAUCUUUGCAAAAAAAGGUUUUCAAAAGGUGGACGAGGUGUGGAAGAGAUAUUUAUGUCUUUGACGUAUAUCGCUGGAAUCUGUUGCUCUUAAAUUGCCACCUUGGAACUCCA
ensembl:lncRNA